rnacentral:lncRNA from 1 species
CAACCACUACCCAUAAAUUUUAUUUCAUAUCCACAUUGUAUUAAAAGAGGUACAGAUAUGAUAUUUCUUAGAAUCUUUGGUAUGUAAUAAUAUUUUUUUAAUUCUAGAGUUUUUCUUGAUGGUAGCUCCAGUAGGUAAGUUUCCACAGCUUCAGCAGAGAUUAAUUCUCCACUAGCACCGAAAAGCUUGAACUCAUUUUUCUUCAGCCCUUUGAUUCUCUGUAACCCCU